CACGGGGAUUUCUUUCUUCCCGACCGGCUUCAGGCGGCCUUUGUACACCUCGCCGAACUCACCUGACGCGAGGAGAAAACAUGAUGGGGCUGGAACUUGAAGCACUCGGUCCCAAGACCAAAAUUACAAGGUGGAGUAUAAAAAUCCAGGAAGUGUUUCAGGACUUAUUUUCAGUCGGUGAUUGUGACGGAGGACACGUCUUACAGUGGGAGUAAUAAGGAAAGAAGAGAGGAGAGGGGUGUUUUCACAGGGGGAGAGGGAGAGAGAUUAAGCCAGCAGAUGAAAUGCAAAAAAAACUCUACCCAACCAAAAUAUUUCAGGGGGAAGCUCUGGGACUCCAUUUCACAUCCAACAUUUGCGAAAACAUCACACAGCAUUUCUACAGUGCUAGCGCAGAUAGCCAAAGAGAAUGCAUGAAGACAGUUUUAAUUUAUUCCUGUGAAAGUUUUCUGCAUGAAUAAAACAUCCCUCCUGACUUCAAAGCGGCGGGGAAAAAAAUAAUAAAGCAAAAAAAAUAAUAAAUCGG